UCUGUCAUCGCAGCCGGGGAUUCUGGUGCCGGAGGCGCUGGGCCUGGGUAACUGGGUGAAGGCCCAGGAGUGGGCGGCGGUGCCCGGCGGGCAGGCUACCUACCUGGGCAACCCCGUCCCAUGGGGCACCCUCCCGACCAUCCUCGCCAUCGAGUUCGUCGCCAUCGCCUUCGUCGAGCACCAGCGCAGCAUGGAGAAGGACCCGGAGAAGAAGAAGUACCCCGGCGGCGCCUUCGACCCCCUCGGCUACUCCAAGGACCCCGCCAAGUUCCAAGAGUACAAGGUCAAGGAGAUCAAGAACGGUAAGCUCCCCCCCGCCCUUCUCCUCCCUCUGGACAUCGCUCCACGCCCACCCACGAGUUGCUCACCGAAUCGAUUGGCUCAACCUUGCGCAGGCCGCCUGGCUCUGCUGGCCUUCGUGGGGUUCUGCGUGCAGCAGUCGGCGUACCCCGGCACGGGGCCGCUGGAGAACCUGGCGACCCACCUCGCCGACCCGUGGCACAACAACAUCGGCGAUGUCAUCAUCCCCAGAUCUCUCUUGCCCUGAGCUUUACACUGUGUAACAUCUUCUUCUCGUUCCGUCUGUAAAACCGCGUUCCACAUCUUGGUCGACGAUGCCUUCAAACGUUCCAAUCAGAGCUUCCGGGUCUCUCUCUCUCUCUCUCUCUCUUACGCUCUCUCUCCGAUCGUGUUUUUCCCUCUCUUGAUCGCCGGGGACGCGGGCGGACGGCUGAGAUCGUCGGGCCCGCGAAGGCCGUACAUACUGUUAGUUUGUUGUUAACGGGCCUAUUCAAGUGUCAAUCUGAGUGAUGCGAGGAGCCCAAUUGAAGCGGCCGCCCGCGGCCCAUCUAAAAUGAAUGAAAUGGGCUCGAUGUGGUUAACUCAGCCCAAUUAAAAAUGAGCCCAUAAACUGAGGCCACCCAUGGUUGCACGUGCCGUGGGCGACUCGCGCGCGGUUUCCGACCAUGCAUUCAAUAGAGGGUUGACUCAUCCCAGAUAUCUUGCCCUAGUCAAAGUCAGCUAAAAUUACCCCAAC
rnacentral:lncRNA from 1 species